GAUCAUGGCUCAGAUUGAACGCUGGCGGCAUGCCUUACACAUGCAAGUCGAACGGCAGCACGGGAGCAAUCCUGGUGGCGAGUGGCGAACGGGUGAGUAAUAUAUCGGAACGUGCCCAGUCGUGGGGGAUAACGUAGCGAAAGCUACGCUAAUACCGCAUACGAUCUAUGGAUGAAAGCGGGGGAUCGCAAGACCUCGCGCGAUUGGAGCGGCCGAUAUCAGAUUAGGUAGUUGGUGAGGUAAAGGCUCACCAAGCCGACGAUCUGUAGCUGGUCUGAGAGGACGACCAGCCACACUGGGACUGAGACACGGCCCAGACUCCUACGGGAGGCAGCAGUGGGGAAUAUUGGACAAUGGGCGAAAGCCUGAUCCAGCAAUGCCGCGUGAGUGAUGAAGGCCUUCGGGUUGUAAAGCUCUUUUACUCGGGACGAUAAUGACGGUACCGAGAGAAUAAGCCCCGGCUAACUCCGUG
rnacentral:rRNA from 1 species